GUUGUCUUAGCGAAAAAAAAAAAAAAAAAAAUAGAAGGGAUUGAGUAUCCCUUUUGAAAUUUUUAUCAUCGUUUCUAGACAGAAAUAGAAAGGUUUCUACGAAGUUACAACAAAAUGUAGUGUCCACGAGCAGAGAUAUAGACAUUUGAAGAAGUAGUAUAUAGGCAUUGUCUUAGAGAAAAAAAAAUAAAAAAAAAAUAGAAGGGAUUGAGUAUCCCUUUUGAAAUUUUUAUCAUCGUUUCUAGACAGGAAUAGAAAGGUUUCUACGAAGUUACAACAAAAUGUAGUGUCCACGAGCAGAGAUAUAGACAUUUAAAGAAGUAGUAUAUAGGCAUUGUCUUAGCGAAAAAAAAAAAAUAAAAAAAAAAUAGAAGGGAUUGAGUAUCCCUUUUGAAAUUUUUAUCAUCGUUUCUAGACAGUAAUAGAAAGGUUUCUACGAAGUUACAACAAAAUGUAGUGUCCACGAGCAGAGAUAUAGACAUUUGAAGAAAUGGUACAUAGGCGUUGUCUUAGCGAAAAAAAAAAAAAAAAAAUAGAAGGGAUUGAGUAUCCCUUUUGAAAUUUUUAUCAUCGUUUCUAGACAGAAAUAGAAAGGUUUCUACGAAGUUACAACAAAAUGUAGUGUCCACGAGCAGAGAUAUAGACAUUUGAAGAAGUAGUAUAUAGGCAUUGUCUUAGAGAAAAAAAAAUAAAUAAAAAAAAAAAUAGAAGGGAUUGAGUAUCUCUUUUGAAAUUUUUAUCAUCGUUUCUAGAUAGUAUUAUAAAG
rnacentral:misc_RNA from 1 species